UAGUGCUACUGUAACUUUAAAUGUCUGUCCAUUAACAGAUACCCCGGCUGAGCAACCGAAGAGCUCCGUUCACGUCGCAUAAAAAUGUAUGAGGUUUUAGUUAAGUUUAGUUUAGUUUAGUUUUGUGUAGCCAGUUUACAUUAUUACAGUGGUGGCAGCAGACAGGCACUAGCUAGCAGCUAGCAGCUACGCCAACGGAUUUGAACGGAACACUUCAGUUAUGUGACCGUGCCGGUGUAGCCUCGCCAUGAGCCUGUGAAGCUCAUUUCACUCGCGCCAUUAUCUAACUGCUGGGUGACAACAUUCACUAAACCCAAGCGACUGGAAAAGUCAUGAAUUGAGAGUGAUGGGAAGAAUAAUGCACCUAGAAGCAGUAGAGUCUGGGCCUGAAGCCUGAUUGUCUCCCACAAAGAGCACAUGGUCCAGUCUUGAAUAUCAACAGUCAGCAUCCACAGAGCAACGUGCCAAUACCAGUGGGCCAGGAUUGAAGACAAGUCUACAAUGGACGUUGUAAGCUCUGUGCCUGUAUUACAAGCCAAAUCAACAUAGCAAACUUUGUCAUUGUUUCUGUUUCUGUUACUGUAAACACUCAUUUAUUCACAGGGUGGGUCAAACCUUUUCACAAUUGAUAGUCAACUUAUGAAAUGUACAGUGGUGUUAAGUAAAGAUGGUUAACUAUUUAAAUAUCUCAUAUACAGUAACAUGAAGAUUUAGUACAUAAUUGCUAAAUAAUAAGACAAUAUCUGAUUGGGGGAUGAUAUGGGCAUAUGAACAUGUCUGUUUUCUUUUUUUUUGUGUUCAAUUGACUUAAUGUAAAAGUAUUUUUCAGCUUAUGUGUGUAAUUUGUAAUGGUAAAGAAUAAUAAAAC